AGAGGUAGCAGGAAUUUCUAGUGUAGGAGUGAAAUCUGUAGAUAUUAGAAAGAACACCAAAGGCGAAGGCAAGCUGCUGGGUACCGACUGACGCUAAUGCACGAAAGCCAGGGGGGCAAACGGGAUUAGAGACCCCGGUAGUCCUGGCCGUAAACGAUGUUCACCAGACUUAUGAUAUUUAUAUAUAUUAUGGGUUGAAGUUAACGCAUUAAGUGAACCGCCUGGGGAGUAUGCACGCAAGUGUGAAACUCAAAGGAAUUGACGGGGGCUCGCACAAGCGGUGGAGCAUGUGGUUUAAUUCGAUGAUAAGCGAAGAACCUUACCUGGGCUUAAACUUGUAGUGACCGUCUGUGAAAGCAGAUUUCUCUUCGGAGCACUAUGAGAGGUGCUGCAUGGCUGUCGUCAGCUCGUGUCGUGAGAUGUUGGGUUAAGUCCCGCAACGAGCGCAACCCUUAUCCUAUGUUGCUACGAUCUUUUGAUCAGGACUCUUAGGAGACUGCCGAGGUUAACUCGGAGGAAGGCGAGGAUGACGUCAAGUCCUCAUGGCCCUUAUGUCCAGGGCUACACACGUGCUACAAUGGGAAGUAUAAAGAGCAGCGAAGUCGCGAGGCGGAGCGAAUCUCAAAAAACUUCUCUCAGUUCAGAUCGCAGUCUGCAACUCGACUGCGUGAAGCUGGAAUCGCUAGUAAUCGCGGAUCAGAAUGCCGCGGUGAAUACGUUCUCGAGCCUUGUACACACCGCCCGUCACACCACCCGAGCUUAUUUUACCUGAAUCGCUGCGCUA
rnacentral:rRNA from 1 species